rnacentral:rRNA from 1 species
AUGGUUGAGGAUCAGACACAAUCACAAGGUAACCCUUUAACGUGGAGCUACGAAAGGCCAGCAAACCCUGACACGUACGCUGGAGCAAAAUAUGAUGAUAGCUUAGAAGUGGUAAUGAAAGGUCAAUACCUUGAUUACACUAGCAACAUCAUUUAUAUGGUUGGUCUUGACUUGUCCUGCAACAAUUUAGUUGGAGAUAUUCCAGCUGAAAUAACAUCUCUAGUUAAUCUGAAGAACCUGAACAUCUCCUAUAAUCGGUUGUCCGGUAAGAUCCCAGAGAAUAUUGGCUUUCUUGGAUCAUUGGAGUCUCUCGACCUGUCAUGCAAUGAACUCUCUGGAGAAAUUCCUUCUGGUUUCUCAGACAUGACAAUGUUAAGCAAGAUGAACCUGUCAUACAAUAAUCUAUCAGGAAGAAUUCCCACCGGGAAUCAGCUCCAGACGCUCAUUGAUCCAAAUUCAUCGUACAUCGGCAACAAAUACCUUUGUGGGCCUCCUCUUUCGAGGAACUGUUCAGGGCCUAAGGUAUUUGGAGGGGAUCUUGACAAGCAUCAAGUAGAGGCGAGGUUUUUCUAUCUUGGCCUGGCUGCAGGAUUUAUCCUUGGUCUUUGGGUGGUCUUUGUUCUCUUUUUAUUUUGUAAGAGCAGAGUUACUUGUUUCCAACUGUUUGACAAGCUAGCGCGUGCUAUACAAGCAUUCAUGGCCUGA